GCCCCGGUAGUGUAGCGGUCUAUCAUCCGAGCCUGUCGAGCUCGGGACUCGGGUCCGAAUCCCGACCGGGGCG
rnacentral:tRNA from 1 species